AGUCCUUCGCCGUCCCUCGCCGUCCUUCGCCAUCGCACGCCACCGCACCCCAUCUCUCGAAAUCUGCAGACAUCUUGAUUUUUCCCACGCUGUCUGUCAGGUCUCCGCCGCCACUCGACGCCAGGGCGCCGGGCCUUGUGGGCUGUGCUGCACCUCGGACGGCUUCGCACCAGCCAGCGCCCUCUCUCUCCUGCAGCACUCUGAUCUGCACCCCCUGAGGGGCUUCCACUGUCCGCGGGGUGAGAAUGCCCCUGGGAGUGUCACAUGACUGCCGCCCCAUGUGUGUGAGAGGCGUCCUCUGGGAGAGCAUGGAUCCUGAGGUCCCAGGAUUGUCAGCUGACCUCUGUCCUGUGUGCCCAGUGGCCCCAGGUGACGUGUCUUCAAGAAGAGGCUGAGCUGCGGUGCUUGUAAGAGUCAUGUGCUGUUCCUGGGGCUUGGAUGAUGUAGGGGAAGCAAGGUGAAAGUGGUAUCCCGUGGUUCCACGUUCUGUCCUGCUGUGGGGCUGUCCCUCACAUGCUUUCAGUGGCUGUUGCAGAGGAAGAGCCUCCGGAAAUCUGCGUCUCAGCCUUAGAUCCAAGGACAGUCCAAGGAAGUCCUAAGACCAUGGAGUUGGUGAUCUGGGAUCUGGGUUUGCUGAUAUUUCUCACCGUGAAUCUCUUGGUGGUGUUUGUGGGCACGAGAGGGGCAGAGAAUGGAGAGUGAGGCUACCACAUGAAGCGUCACCAGAGCUGCUCCCUGCUGCCUGCUCAGAGCACCCCGGAUCCACUGUUCAAUCUGCACAAGAUUCGGGGUCCAGACAUGGGAGACUUCAGCUGCCUCAGAGGACCGUGGACAGGGAAGGCCAGCCUCGCAUCCCUCUGUCCAUGCCUGGAAUGACUUUAAUAACCAAGAGUUUUAUUUUUGAAUUUGUAGCUGUCGUUCACUUUUUACCCACCCAUUCAAUAAACCUUACAGAAUUGCUCCA
rnacentral:lncRNA from 1 species